GGUAACACCGCGGAAGAUUUAGUGGCGAACGGGUGAGGAACACGUGAGGAACCUGCCCCUGAGUGGGGAACAACAGCUGGAAACGGCUGCUAAUACCGCAUACGCCCUUCGGGGGAAAGCUUUAUGCGCUCAGGGAGGGUCCCGCGUCCGAUUAGUUAGUUGGCGGGGUAACGGCCCACCAAGACAUCGAUCGGUAGCUGGUCUGAGAGGAUGAUCAGCCACACUGGGACUGAGACACGGCCCAGACUCC
rnacentral:rRNA from 1 species